rnacentral:rRNA from 1 species
UACGUAGGGGGCGAGCGUUGUCCGGAUUCAUUGGGCGUAAAGAGCUCGUAGGCGGUUCGGCAAGUCGGGCGUGAAAACUCCAGGCUCAACCUGGAGACGCCACCCGAUACUGCUGUGACUCGAGUCCGGUAGGGGACCACGGAAUACCUGGUGUAGCGGUGAAAUGCGCAGAUAUCAGGAGGAACACCGGUGGCGAAGGCGGGUCUCUGGGAAGUAACUGACGCUGAGAAGCGAAAGCAUGGGUAGCAAACAGG